AGUAAUGGAACAGUCAACAGUAUAUCAGUAGGCAUUCCUCUGUCUGUCUUUGACAGUGGGAGGUCCAUCUGCUCUACCAGGCGCUGGGGCAGCUCAACAAAUAAAGAGGCUGAAUCCAGGGGCUUUGUGUGUGUGUACCUCAUUUCUCUCUCCACCUCCUGUACUCCCAGGUUGGUCAGACUUCAAAAACUCAGGAGCAGAGCUACUCUGAGACCAUCCUACACAAGUAUGAACUAGACUUCAUCGUGGGAGACCAGGGCUCCAAAGAUGGGGUCCUCCAGAGGGCUUUCCACAACACUUCCAGGCCUCUCUCAGAUACUCGGGGCAACUUUCAAUGGAACACGCACACACGAGUUUAGCAGAACUCCAAGAUGGAUAGACUUUUGCCAAGCAGGAGAAAGAUGUUUUCCCCCUCCGCCAGUAUUUGGUUGCUACGGUGACCUGCUCCUCAAGGCCCCAAAAUAAGGGGUGAGGAAUGCGGUGCUGUGGAAGUUAACGAUCGACGGCUCAUGAAAGAAACCCUCUAUAUUUGGAGACUCUGAGCGGGACCACGCUUCACAGUUGGCAGCGAUAUUGUUUUUCUUGACAGUGUUUCAGCUUUGAUGGAUGAUAAUGAUGAUGUAUGUGUGCCAACAUUGAUUUGUAAUUAUGAACGUUGUAUGUGUGGGGUUGUGCUCUGUUGUGCUGCCAGUGCGCAAGUAUAGCUGAAGAACACAUUUAAGACACCUCUAGGUGGCACUCAUAUGUCAAUCAAUCUAUGAAAGGCCCAACAUCAUGUAAAAACUGUCAUGAAACAUUUGUUACAUUUUCUCAAUGUACAGGACCAUUGGGACUCAAUGUCUUUAUAGGAGGCCCAUCAAUAGACUGACUCUGAAGGAGAGAGAAUGGGGGAAACUUGCCAAGGCACAAGGUAGGGGGAUGUUGCCAUUCCUUUCAUUUCCAAAACAAACAUGAGAUGUGAACAUUGUGAACCAGAUGGGUUUAAUGUAUCUGGUAUUCGAACAAGAUCAGGCCAGGAUAUACUCUGGCUCUGUUCAGCUCUACAAACCUCUGUCAUGUUUUCACUAUCAGGACUCUCAUAACAAAGCCUCCAUUAACACUUUAUAAAGCCUAUAUAGAUUGUGCCGAAAUCAUUCAUAAGUACAUGUCAUGGGUGGUAAAAAGAGUCAGGCCACAUUUGUCAAAGAACUACAUAUUGUUAUGUCUCUCUGCAGAUUAAAGGCUACUGAUUAUGUCAGCCUUGCUUGCCAGGUUUGAGACCUACAGCAAUCUACAUACUGUAUGUGCAUUCGGGAAGUAUUCAGACCCCUUGACUUUUUCCACAUUUUCUUACGUUACAGCCUUGUUCUAAAAUGGAUUAAAUCUUUUUUUGUUUUCAUCAAUCUACACAC